rnacentral:rRNA from 1 species
GAUGAACGCUGGCGGCGUGCCUAAUACAUGCAAGUCGAGCGAACAGACGAGGAGCUUGCUCCUCUGACGUUAGCGGCGGACGGGUGAGUAACACGUGGAUAACCUACCUAUAAGACUGGGAUAACUUCGGGAAGCCGGAGCUAAUACCGGAUAAUAUAUUGAACCGCAUGGUUCAAUAGUGAAAGACGGUUUUGCUGUCACUUAUAGAUGGAUCCGCGCCGCAUUAGCUAGUUGGUAAGGUAACGGCUUACCAAGGCAACGAUGCGCAGCCGACCUGAGAGGGUGAUCGGCCACACUGGAACUGAGACACGGUCCAGACUCCUACGGGAGGCAGCAGUAGGGAAUCUUCCGCAAUGGGCGAAAGCCUGACGGAGCAACGCCGCGUGAGUGAUGAAGGUCUUCGGGUCGUAAAACUCUGUUAUUAGGGAAGAACAAAUGUGUAAGUAACUAUGCACGUCUUGACGGUACCUAAUCAGAAAGCCACGGCUAACUACGUG